CCUACGGGGGGCAGCAGUGGGGAAUAUUGGACAAUGGGGGCAACCCUGAUCCAGCCAUGCCGCGUGUGUGAAGAAGGCCCUCGGGUUGUAAAGCACUUUCAGUGAGGAAGAACGCCUGGUGGUUAAUACCCAUCAGGAAAGACAUCACUCACAGAAGAAGCACCGGCUAACUCCGUGCCAGCAGCCGCGGUAAUACGGAGGGUGCGAGCGUUAAUCGGAAUUACUGGGCGUAAAGCGCGCGUAGGUGGCUUGAUAAGCCGGUUGUGAAAGCCCCGGGCUCAACCUGGGAACGGCAUCCGGAACUGCCAAGCUAGAGUGCAGGAGAGGAAGGUAGAAUUCCCGGUGUAGCGGUGAAAUGCGUAGAGAUCGGGAGGAAUACCAGUGGCGAAGGCGGCCUUCUGGACUGACACUGACACUGAGGUGCGAAAGCGUGGGUAGCAAACAGGAUUAGAUACCCUAGUAGUC
rnacentral:rRNA from 1 species